UCACCCUGUGACAUACCUAAAACGUUGCUUCGGCGGGAACAGACGGCCCCGUGAAACGGGCCGCCCCCGCCAGAGGACCCCCUAACUCUGUUGCUAUAUGUAUCUUCUGAGUAAACAAGCAAAUAAAUUAAAACUUUCAACAACGGAUCUCUUGGCUCUGGCAUCGAUGAAGAACGCAGCGAAAUGCGAUAAGUAAUGUGAAUUGCAGAAUUCAGUGAAUCAUCGAAUCUUUGAACGCACAUUGCGCCCGCCAGUAUUCUGGCGGGCAUGCCUGUUCGAGCGUCAUUACAACCCUCAGGCCCCCGGGCCUGGCGUUGGGGAUCGGCGAGGCGCCCCCCUGCGGGCACGCGCCGUCCCCCAAAUACAGUGGCGGUCCCGCCGCAGCUUCCAUUGCGUAGUAGCUAACACCUCGCAACUGGAGAGCGGCGCGGCCAUGCCGUAAAACACCCAACUUCUGAAUGUUGACCUCGAAUCAGGUAGGAAUACCCGCUGAACUUAAGCAUAUCA
rnacentral:rRNA from 1 species